ensembl:snRNA U6 U6 spliceosomal RNA
GUGCUCGUUUCAGCAGCACACAUACUAAAACUGGAACGAUACAGAGAAGAUUAGCAUGGCCCCUGCACAAGGAUGACAAGCAAAUUCGUGAAGCGCUCCACUUUUUU